CUCAAUUUUAGGGCUCCCAAAGGCUAAAUAUUGAAAAUGUCAUGCAAGAAUUCUGGAGGAGAACUCUGUGAAUGAAAAGAGAUAUUUCCUUUUUGUGAAUAGUUUCUAACUGUGGUAUACCAUUCUGUAGAUUGUUGUAACAAUUGUAUUUAAUACAUGUGUGUAACAUUCUGUAAAAGCUGAUUGUAUUAUAAAUAUGAGUAUUUAAAAAUUUUUAAAGCAGGGAUUUUUUAAAAAGGCAUUUUACAGGAAGUGCGUACCUUAUGCAUGGAUGUAUCAUUUAUUGAAUCCAAAAGGUCAUAUGUUUAUGUCUGAAACAGGUCCUUAAAAACUGUUAGCAAUUAUAUUGCAUGAGACAAUGUGUAGUUUUCAGUAUUUACUGACAUGUUGCUCCAAAAAAUAAGCUCUGUGCACUUGAACAUCCUCACAGACAGUGGUUAGGCAUCCGUCGUCAAAGAACAUAGGGUAGGAAAAGAUGGAUCACUUGAUAGGCCUCAUUUCCUGAAAGGGCGUUUGCCCUGCUGAGUGGUUCGUGCAUGAAAAGGCUUUUGGGGGAGGCCCAGUUAUCCAGGGAAUCCUCUGUGUGUGCAAUAGAUAUCCUUUUGCACAUGAAAAGCACUGCCCAACCUUGAAGAAAAGGGGAUUUGUGCAUGAAAUACAGUCAAUGUAUACCUCGACCUUCUGGAUAGCUUUAGCUAGUGCCCCGUGGGGAGGGGAACAUCAGUGACAAAUUGAUCCCUUGUAAGCUGAUAAAAUCAUUCUUGCAAGCUGAUAAAAUCAUUCUAAGGACUGCUGUAAUAUUUGCACUUAAGGAUUGUUGUUCUAAUUGGCAUUUCCGAGAUUUUAAAUCUAUCCAAUUCAUUCUAGUCCAAAAGCAGUCAAGUCGUAGCAUCCCAGAUUUAAUUCUGCUUUUAUUUUCCAAAUGUUUUGACCAAAUAUCCCCCGACCCCCAUUGUGCCGAAUGGAUGCUAAUGUAUGAAUACACAAAUUAGCUUUUAAAAUUCCCUAUUGGCUUUAAUUGAUGUUGGAACAGAAUCCAGUUUUCAAAGGGAUGCUUCAGAAUUGGGGUUACUGCCAAGCUUGCUUGUUUUUUGCACUUUAAAAUCCAUGCAAAGGUGUGUGUUUGUUUCCUGGAAUUCCUUGUUUGACAGACCAGAAUUGUCAUUCUGUGGGUGGCAAUUUUUGGCAAUGAGUAUUUUUGCUCAGGGGUGGGCAACUUUGUAGCUAAAUGUCUCCCACAAGAAGUAUUUAUGGUUGUGAUGGCUUUGUUCUUCUUGUCGUUGUUUUUUAAGCUGCACUGACCGGACACCCUUUUUAAAUCCAAAUGUGUAUUUCAACAUUUUGAACCACUACUAACUCGAUAUGUCUCGAGCUAGGACUUGUUGACUUCUACUGUAGUUUUUUUUCAUGAAAGUCGAGAAGGCCUGGUUUCUGGCCUUUUGUUUCUUCAUGAGAAGGUGUGACACUGCCUAAAUGUUUCUUACUAUGAAACACACGGAAUGUGAGGCUGCAGUCAGGGUUGUUUCUGGUGUUUUGAUAACGGCUUGCAAGCUGCUUUCUGGUUAUUUGUUAAUCCCAGUGGGAAAACAAACAAACAAACAAACAAAUGUACUGUGUCCUCUACUUGAAUGAUUGCACUGAUGCCCGGAAUGGCUCGUGGCCCAUUUCUGUUUUGUGUCGCAUGAAUAUACUUUCAGGGGAUGGUGAAGAGAUCAUCACGCGUUAAGUUGGCGGUUCACUGCCCGCCAAGAGCUGGUAGCAAUCCCAAGCCAUGCUGCUCCAGUUUGCAGCAGUCAAACUGGGCUGAGAGUCUGGGCCAGGCAACACCCAUCCUCAGUGCCAAAAAGAAGGGGGGAAAGGAACUUGGCUAGCUUGCUAGGAUCCUGCCGAGUGCACAAGUGCUGAGCCGAGAGGAAGGUGCUGUCUGGGCACAGCCACCUGAAUAGAAUAAAGGCCAGAGGAUCUGCUCACCCAUGACAGAACUUCUUGGUAGUUUCCAGGGACUCGGAGGUCACUUCCGCAUCGUACGAGUGCUGUUUCACGGCAUCUUGCUCUGUUUGGAAAUGGCGUCAUCCACUUUUAUUUCUCGGUGUUCAAACUCCCGAGAGCCGUGUGUAGUCAGCUGCAUUUCUCGAAUCCUGGCAGGAAUGUCAGUGCUGCACUGUACUUCUCCAUUCUUUGUGUGUUCACCGGUUAGUUCAGCCAUUGCUGAGCCCGUAGAAAGGUUUUGGAUGGUGCACUUGUUGAUUUACAGCCAGGAGGGCUCUUGCCCUCCGCCUCAUUUCACCCAGUCCUUUCAGAGGGCACCCCAGAAAUUGGAUCAGCCCUGUACUUUGAUUUGUGCACCAUUAGACACAAACGGUAAAGGUACUGGGCAUUUACAUUCAAAAAACGGUUUGCAGAACUGUUUUGGACCUGCUCUUUUAACUAGAAUCUUCUCAGUCAGAAUGGGAUCCAUUUCUCAUUGAGUUAUUUUAUACUUCGAGUUAACUUGCACUUCUCUCGUGUGUGUUACACAAAAGCAGCUGAGAGCAACGCCUCAAAUAACCAGAAACGACCUUUUGUUUGUUGAUACAAAUUGUAUCUCUUUCUUGAUUGUAUAAAAAAUGUACAAAAGCCAUCUCUAGAUUAGCUUCAAUAUUGUAUUUUCAUCACUAUGUUUGUGACACUGUGUGUCACAGGAGAGUAGCCCAUGGCAGAUUAUGAAUCUUUUUAUUUAAAAUGGGCACUUAACAGUUUAUAGAAAAAAGCAACUUUUGAAAUCCACUUUAUUACUCUGAUGUGCACCACUUACGCGUGUACAUUUAAAAGCACUAUGCUGCAUAAGUUAUAUUAAGUCUGUUUAUUAAAUGAAUGCAUUCUCGCAAUGGAUUAUUUUUUGUAAAAUAUCAGUGUUGAUAGGGUUGUUGAUGUUCACAUUUAUACACUGUUGUAAGCCCAUGACAUGGAGUUAUUGACAGUAAAACUGCUGUGCAUCCAGCUUUUGUUUUAGCAGGACAAAUACUCAGUUCGGUGUAAAUUUUGUGCACUUGCAAACUGUUGCAUGGAAUUCUGUUUCUGUACAAAAAAGGGCCAUUCUCCAUUUUAUUCCUGUUUUAAGGCAAACUGUUGCGAGGGAUUUUAGAAGCGUCUUUCAGCAGACGUAAUGCUGAGCUGAGGUUGCUGCGUGAGGUUUUUAUUGGGGACUAAAAUAUUUUACUGUCAUAGUGAGUAAAAGUUUUAUAUUUAGUCCUAUGUGAUGUUUAGUUCUAUAUUUAUAAACAAUCAAGUCUUUUUUUAGUGCUUUCUUGAAGCAAUGUACCAUAACUGUAGCAUGCAUUUUUCUUUAAGGAAGGAAGGUGGUCCCUGCAAAUAGGCCCCAAAUCUGUCUUUUCUCCAAGGACAGAAGGGAGAGUGAACAUUUUGAAUUAGUCUGCAUUUUUGCUGACCAAUCAUUUUUCAAUUUUAAACUUUAAAACAUUUGUUGUCUUGAUACACUUCUCGCUUUCUCCCUCUCCUUUUCCCAUGCCAGUUUGAAACACUGACAUUGCAUUGCCUUCAUCUCUUAACACAGAAUUUCUUCUAACAUAGAAGGGAUGAUAUAAAAACAAGUCAUAGUUGCCUAUAUUGUAAAUAUAAGACACUGUUUUACAAUGCUCUUUUUGAGAGCACAGUAUUUAAUUUUUUUAAAUUGUGUACCAAACAGCUACUGAAUAUUUUAUCUGUCUGUCUGUCUGUCUAAACUAAAAAUGGCCCAGUAAUCUCCCUUUUGUAAAAUAUUUAUUUGAAUUUUAACUUUCUGUAAUUUAUUAUUGAGGAGGGCUUAAUAUUCAGCUUGCUCCGCAACUGAGAUGUUACCUGGGAAAACACACAAGGUCAUUUUAAAAUGCUAUCCUGAGUUAAGCAGUUUUGUAGAUAUUAUACGACACUCAGUAUUGCUUUUGCUUGUAUACACGAUUUUGACUACUGUUAGUUGUGCUGUUGUCCUGUCGAGCUACAGUAGUUUGCUUUCCUCAUUUGUAGAAUUAAACAUUCCUGUUUAAUUGUUGUAAAAAUUUAUAAAAUCUCUUUGGGUUUUUUUGUGGACCCAAAUAUAAUGUAAGUCUCAAUGACAAAGACUGAAGAUAGACUGCAUAGCCCGUUGCCCCGAUCCAGCAAGAUGCGUACAUCAAAGGCAUCUUCUGCAAGUGUCGAAGCAGCCUGUGGGCCAGGCUGGCCGCUCAGGUUCUGCUGAACGGGCUGCUUGCUGCAGAUGUGGAUGAGAAACUGUGUACCUCGAGAGCAGAGUCGGGGCCAGCGUGUGGUGUACAAUAUUGGUUUAGUAUUUUGUGCAAUGUUUUUAUCUACAGCUGCAUGUUUAAUGCAUUCACUGGGAUGAGAUGUUACACUGCCUUUGUAAAAAGUGUUUUUAUAAACUAAAUGGCUGAGAUAAUCACCAAAGCACUGCUUGCAAGAGGGACGGAAAUGUUAUUUUCCCUUAAUGUGAAAACUGAUGCCUUCAUAUUUUUAGUUAUCUAGAGCAUUAGUUUGUAGAUGUCUCCUGGUAGUAUCUGCUGAACAAGUGAUGUACUUGAAAAACUCUCUGCUGGGCCUGCCAUCACCUCAGUUGCUCUUGGGUCCCACUGAACAUGCUUGAUGUCAUCACUGAAUUCUGAGUCUGGUUUACAUUUCCUCAGGCCUGGCACAAGUUGGCACAUCUUACCUAGAGUACAGAAUUGAUUAGCACCAAGUGAUUUGCUUAGACUGCUGAAUGUUUUCAAGUGCAAAGCUUUUCAUUUGUGUUGGUUCAGGUAGAGGACUUGCCGGACGGCAUAGCUCACCUGGCUCUGCUGAUUAGUAACAGCAUCACUGUGGCUUUGGCAGGAAGCUCAAGCCAAACUCACUGGGAAAUGCCAGCUACCUGAAGCAGACCUUCUCAGAUAGGAUCAAUUGGAUGUGUGCCACUCUGAGAUUCUAUAAUUUCGGGACAUUCCUCUUGCGUUGGCCUGCUACUUAGACAAGCAUGUGCACCCUAGCACUGAUGUCAGUGUUACUUCAUGUAAAAAAACAAGUGCCCAUUGACUUAGGAGGCUCCUAAUACAGCUCCAGUUUGCUUGUAUGUAUAACUCACAAUUUCUAGUGAACAACAUUGGCAAUGAAGUCUCUGAAAAUGUAUCUCAAAGGUCAUAGGACAUAUAUAUAUAUGUAUUUCUUCCCACCCAAUCAGAAUACCUCUGAUUACUGUAUAACAGGUUUUGUGUAGCUGUUUUAUAUUUAGGUAUUUCUAUAACUGUAUUCAAUAAAUCGAGUCACUUGCUCAUUA